rnacentral:rRNA from 1 species
UCGUGCAAGCGAAGGAGGAGUCACAUAGGAAAAACCGUGUGGCAAUCCAGAGGCGUGAUGCGACCGAACUAAAGUAGGGAAGUGUGUGAGCCAUGAAUCAAGAAAAGCCGCUAUUGUUUUUAAGAUACCCGUACCGUAAACCGACACAGGUGGAUGAGGAGAGAAUCCUAAGGCCGGCGGAAGAAGCAUUGUUAAGGAACUCGGCAAAAUGACCCCGUAACUUCGGGAGAAGGGGUGCCAACGAGAGUUGGCCGCAGAGAAUAGGCUCAAGCAACUGUUUAGCAAAAACACAGGUCUAUGCAAAACCGUAAGGUGAGGUAUAUGGGCUGACGCCUGCCCGGUGCUGGAAGGUUAAGAGGAGAGGUUAGCGCAAGCGAAGCUUUGAAUUUAAGCCCCAGUAAACGGCGGCCGUAACUAUAACGGUCCUAAGGUAGCGAAAUUCCUUGUCGGGUAAGUUCCGACCCGCACGAAAGGCGUAAUGAUUUGAGCGCUGUCUCGACAAUGCAUCCGGUGAAAUUGAAGUACCAGUGAAGAUGCUGGUUACCCGCGCCAGGACGGAAAGACCCCAUGGAGCUUUACUCCAGUUUGGUACUGGGGUCCGGCAGUGCAUGUACAGGAUAGGUGGGAGGCUGAGAACCUGGAACGCCAGUUUCAGGGGAGCCAUUGUUGGAUACCACCCUUGUGCUGCUGGGCUUCUAACCAGCGGCCUUUAUCAGGCCGGGGGACAAUGCCAGACGGGGAGUUUGACUGGGGCGGUCGCCUCCGAAAGGGUAUCGGAGGCGCUCAAAGGUUCCCUCAGAAUGGUCGGAAACCAUUCGAAGAGUGCAAAGGCAGAAGGGAGCUUGACUGCGACACCGACGGGUGGAGCAGGUACGAAAGUAGGACUUAGUGAUCCGGUGGUAUUAAGUGGGAAUGCCAUCGCUCAACGGAUAAAAGCUACCCUGGGAUAACAGGCUUAUCACUCCCAAGAGUUCACAUCGACGGAGUGGUUUGGCACCUCGAUGUCGGCUCAUCGCAUCCUGGGGCUGUAGUAGGUCCCAAGGGUUGGGCUGUUCGCCCAUUAAAGCGGUACGCGAGCUGGGUUCAGAACGUCGUGAGACAGUUCGGUCCCUAUCCGGCGUGGGCGUAGGAUAUUUGAGAGGAGCUGUCCUUAGUACGAGAGGACCGGGAUGGACUGACCUCUGGUGUACCGGUUGAACCGCCAGGUUCACGGCCGGGUAGCCAAGUCGGGAAGGGAUAAACGCUGAAGGCAUCUAAGCGUGAAGCCCCCCUCAAGAUGAGAUAUCCCAUUCGAAAGAAGUAAGACCCCUUGAAGACGACGAGGUAGAUAGGGCAGAGGUGGAAGUGCCGUAAGGCAUGGAGCUGACUGUUACUAAUCGGUCGAGGGCUUGACCG